GGGCCCGCACAAGCGGUGGAGCAUGUGGUUUAAUUCGAUGCAACGCGAAGAACCUUACCAGGGUUUGACAUAGUACGAAGUUUUUUGAAAAAAAACCACCUUCGGGAACGUACAUACAGGUGGUGCAUGGCUGUCGUCAGCUCGUGUCGUGAGGUGUCAGGUUAAGUCCUAUAACGAGCGCAACCCCCUAUCGUUAGUUGCCAGCGAGUAAUGUCGGGAACUCUAACGAAACUGCCAGUGCAAACUGUGAGGAAGGUGGGGAUGACGUCAAAUCAUCACGGCCCUUACGUCCUGGGCUACACACGUGCCACAAUGGCCGGUACAGAGAGCAGCCACUUCGCAAGAAGGAGCGAAUCUAUUAAAACCGGUCUCAGUUCGGAUCGGAGUCUGCAACUCGACUCCGUGAAGCUGGAAUC
rnacentral:rRNA from 1 species